ACCCCACCCAAAUCUCCGCACCGAGGAAGCUGGAAAACCAAACUGUGCCCCAGCAGCUCCAGGUCUCACUGAACCUGUUACUAUGGCAGCAUCUAUGCUUCACUUUUGAGGAUUGCUUCUGCUUUGAAAUAGCCAUGUGGAAGAAAAACUACAAAGUUUUGAGGGGAAAAAAACCCAUCUAACUUUAGAUGCCGUUGUGUCUUCAUCUGUAAAAAUCUUCUUCAUGUCUCAUGGAUUUCAACAUGCAGUUUAUCUUGCUUUGUUCCAUAAAACAUCAGAUGCAACUUUAAUGGCCUAACCCCAAAAAGAUAACUUGACAGCCAUCAAACAUUCAGCAGCGUUCCAAAUGCCCUCUUGCUGGAGCCAGCCUUCUACGGGGCCAUGUGGAUGUCAGGCACACACAAUUUGAGUCACGCUGACAUAGCUGGGAUGCCUGGAUUGCGCUGGAAUCUGGGGGGUACCAAUCACAGGCCAGAGAGACGCCAUUGGCUGGAA
rnacentral:antisense_RNA from 1 species